AUCUCUCCUGUGGCGCAAUGGGCCAGUGCAUCUGGCUGUUAACCAGAAGGCUGGUGGUUCAAGCCUACCCAAAGAUG